UCUUCCUGUGCCAUGAAGAAUUUGUUGC
rnacentral:piRNA from 1 species